AACGAACGCUGGCGGCAUGCCUAACACAUGCAAGUCGAACGAGACCUUCGGGUCUAGUGGCGCACGGGUGCGUAACGCGUGGGAACCUGCCCUUAGGUUCGGAAUAACUCCCCGAAAGGGGUGCUAAUACCGGAUAAUGUCUUCGGACCAAAGAUUUAUCGCCUUUGGAUGGGCCCGCGUUGGAUUAGCUAGUUGGUAGGGUAAAAGCCUACCAAGGCGACGAUCCAUAGCUGGUCUGAGAGGAUGAUCAGCCACACUGGGACUGAGACACGGCCCAGACUCCUACGGAAGGCAGCAGUGGGGAAUAUUGGACAAUGGGCGAAAGCCUGAUCCAGCAAUGCCGCGUGAGUGAUGAAGGCCUUAGAGUUGUAAAGCUCUUUUACCCGGGAUGAUAAUGACAGUACCGGGAGAAUAAGCUCCGGCUAACUCCGUG
rnacentral:rRNA from 1 species